rnacentral:rRNA from 1 species
AACGAACGCUGGCGGCAGGCCUAACACAUGCAAGUCGAGCGAAGCCUUCGGGCUUAGCGGCGGACGGGUGAGUAACGCGUGGGAACGUGCCCUUUGGUACGGAAUAGCCCCGGGAAACUGGGAGUAAUACCGUAUGUGGUCGAGAGACGAAAGAUUUAUCGCCAAAGGAUCGGCCCGCGUUGGAUUAGGUAGUUGGUGGGGUAAUGGCCUACCAAGCCGACGAUCCAUAGCUGGUUUGAGAGGAUGAUCAGCCACACUGGGACUGAGACACGGCCCAGACUCCUACGGGAGGCAGCAGUGGGGAAUCUUAGACAAUGGGGGAAACCCUGAUCUAGCCAUGCCGCGUGAUCGAUGAAGGCCUUAGGGUUGUAAAGAUCUUUCAGUGGGGAAGAUAAUGACUGUACCCGCAGAAGAAGCCCCGGCUAACUUCGUGCCAGCCGCCGCCGUAAGAC